GAUGAACGCUGGCGGCGUGCCUAAUACAUGCAAGUCGAGCGAACAGACGAGGAGCUUGCUCCUCUGACGUUAGCGGCGGACGGGUGAGUAACACGUGGAUAACCUACCUAUAAGACUGGGAUAACUUCGGGAAACCGGAGCUAAUACCGGAUAAUAUAUUGAACCGCAUGGUUCAAUAGUGAAAGACGGUUUUGCUGUCACUUAUAGAUGGAUCCGCGCCGCAUUAGCUAGUUGGUAAGGUAACGGCUUACCAAGGCAACGAUGCGUAGCCGACCUGAGAGGGUGAUCGGCCACCCGGGAACUGAGACACGGUCAAGACUCCUACGGGAGGCAGCAGUAGGGAAUCUUCCGCAAUGGGCGAAAGCCUGACGGAGCAACGCCGCGUGAGUGAUGAAGGUCUUCGGAUCGUAAAACUCUGUUAUUAGGGAAGAACAAAUGUGUAAGUAACUAUGCACGUCUUGACGGUACCUAAUCAGAAAGCCACGGCUAACUACGUG
rnacentral:rRNA from 1 species